UUGCAGUUCAGAGUUUUAGCUGGGAAGCAGCUCCUUCCUCUCUUCCACCCUUGGUUAUCGAGGAGUUCUGACUGGCAGUAUCCUGAUCCUUGCUGCCCUUGCCUUCUCACAGAUUUUUAUUUGACCUUCUGUGCCUGGAAAUUGUUCUCUCACCCAGUGGAAUAUGUACUUCUGGGAUUUCUCAAUCUGGAAUAUAACCCUUUCUGUCACCCUGGCCUGAAAAAAAAAAAAGAUUGCGUGGUGGCAAACAGGCUCACCCUGCUCCACUAUAGGUUACAAGCAGUGAACCUGGACCACCUGACCAGAG